GAUGAACGCUGGCGGCGUGCCUAAUACAUGCAAGUCGAGCGAACGGACGAGAAGCUUGCUUCUCUGAUGUUAGCGGCGGACGGGGGAGUAACACGUGGAUAACCUACCUAUAAGACUGGGAUAACUUCGGGAAACCGGAGCUAAUACCGGAUAAUAUUUUGAACCGCAUGGUUCAAAGGUGAAAGACGGUCUUGCUGUCACUUAUAGAUGGAUCCGCGCUGCAUUAGCUAGUUGGUAAGGUAACGGCUUACCAAGGAAACGAUGCAUAGCCGACGUGAGAGGGGGAGCGGCGACGCUGGAGCUGAGACGCGGUCCAGACUCCUACGGGGGGGGGCAGUAGGGAGUGGGCCGCGAUGGGCGGAAGCGGGACGGAGCAGCGCCGCGGGAGUGAGGGAGGUGUUCGGGUCGUGGGGCUCGGUUAUUGGGGAAGGGCAGAUGUGGAAGUGGCUGGGCGGGUCGUGACGGUACCGGGGGAGAAAGCCACGGCUAACUACGUG
rnacentral:rRNA from 1 species